UGUUCCUACGGGAGGCAGCAGUGGGGAAUAUUGCACAAUGGGCGAAAGCCUGAUGCAGCGACGCCGCGUGAAGGAUGAAGUAUUUCGGUAUGUAAACUUCUAUCAGCAGGGAAGAAAAUGACGGUACCUGACUAAGAAGCCCCGGCUAACUACGUGCCAGCAGCCGCGGUAAUACGUAGGGGGCAAGCGUUAUCCGGAUUUACUGGGUGUAAAGGGAGCGUAGACGGCGAUGCAAGCCAGCUGUGAAAGCCCGGGGCGCAACACCGGGACUGCAUUUGGCACUGGGUGGGUGGAGAGUCGGAGUG
rnacentral:rRNA from 1 species